ensembl:lncRNA
GAGCUGCAGACGGGCUGCCUGGUCAAGAUGACCUCAAAGGCCCAGAGGGCGCAGGCCCAGAGGCGGCUCUCCAAGUCUCUGCUUUGUUUUGGUUCAGCUUGCCGAGCUUGCCGACAGACACACUGGCUCCUGCACCAUGGGGGCCGCAGCCUCCCUCUUGGGUCCCCGUGACCUGCAGCAGCUCAGAACUGCACCCACAGGCUCAGGUCUAGGAGGAAGCCAGUGUCGUGGGAUGAUCUGACGUACAUCCACAUGUUCGGUUCCAAGUCUGUUUUUGGGCCCAGAUUAGUCAAAGAUUCGGGGUCAGGUCUGGAGGAGACUCUUGAGAGUCUCUUGGACUGCAAGGAAAUCAAAUCAGUCAAUCCUAAAGGAAAUCAACUCUGGAUAUUCAUUGGAAGGACUGAUGCUGCCAAUGGACUGAAGCUCCAGUACUUCGGCCACCUGAUGCGAAGAGCUGACUCAUUGAAAAAGACCCUGAUGCUGGAAAAGAUUGAAGGAAGGUCCCCGGGCAGCAAAGGUGCUUGAAACGACCAACAAAGAGGUCAGAGAAAAACAAAUGCCAUCUGAUGUCACUUAUAAGAAGAACCUUAAAAAAAAAGGUACAAGUGAACUUAUUUACAAAACAGACCCAUAGACACAGAAGACAAAUUUAUCGUUAACAAAGGCAAAAGAUGGAGGAGAGGGAUAAAUUAGGAGGUUGGGAUUAACAAGCACAUCCCUGUGUCUAAAAUAGAUGAGCCACAAGGAUCUACCAUAUAACACAGGGAAUGCUACUCAAUGUUCUGUAACAGCCCACAAGGGAAAAGAAUCUGAAAAAGAAUACAUAUAAUAUAUAUGUAAAUAUUAUAUAUAAUAGUAUACAGUAUAU